AUGGAAAAUGAAUAAAGCUUUGGUUCCACUCUGGUUUUGACACUUGUGCCAGAAAAUAUCUGAAGAUGAACAUUUUUGUGUUCACAAUGGUUAGAUUAAUAUUUAAUUUGCUGGCAUCCAACAAGCUGAUUAGUUUUCCUCUGAUAUGGCUCAACUUUUUAAUUACAGGAACUGGCUCCUCCUGGUUUGUGCCUGUGGUAAGAAGCUCAGGGACCAUCCUGACAUCAGUGUGACUGUGAUUUUGCCAGGCUCACACACUGCAAGGCUGUCAUCACCUGAAGCCUCUGCUCCUGGAAACAGAAUUCUCUAUUUGAGAUGAAUAAUACAUUGAAUAUGGUAUGUGGGCUCUGUAGACUUGGAAAAUACAACAUGAGCAAAUACAUUGCUCUGGCAAGGUGGUGUAACAGCGCUACUGAGGAUUUAGAAGCACCUCCUCUACCACAGAGCACCGUACGUGUGUGACAAGAGGCCUCAGGCCAGGGGAAGGAGCAGUUUACUUGUUUACUGGUACCUGUCUUGCUCUGCAGCCUUGUCCAGCAGCAUCCCCCCUAGAUGGAGCUCUGCAAAAACAUUUGAAGGCAGGAAAGCAGAAGCCUCCUGUUGCCCUGCAGCCCUGCACCGGUCAUCAGAGCAGUGCUGGGUUUGGCCUCUGUGAUGGGGUGGAUGGAGCUGAUGCCGUGGUCAGGAGCUCUGCUGGCCCCUUGCCGUCCCCCUGGGCCCUGUGCAGACCGCUCAGCCUGGAUCGUUAGUGAACGGAUGGUUGAUCACUAGAUGGAAACUGAGCUUGGAUGCAAAAUCUGGCAUUCCACAGGCUCCUGACCAGAGGGGACAGCUCUGCUUGUCAACUCUGACCUCCUGCCAAAGCUCUGCCAGAGCAGGGCAAGCAGCUGCCCAGGAGGAUCUGCAGCAGGAAGAGGAGGAAGAGGAGUGGGUGGUCCUCUGAGUGCACCCUAGAUAUUCAAAAGCCCUAUAGAUGCAAUGAGCAAUGCGAUGGGGAUGUCCCACCUGAUGAUCCUUUUGCUAUCAGCCAGCAGAUCUUAGACUGUAAGUAGGAAAAAAGUGUAAAUGAUUGGAAAAAAAAUCUGCCUGUGUCACUGCAUGAAAGGGAGAUGAAGAGAGAUGAAGACAGCGUCAGCGCAGCUGAUAAGGCAGGGGAAGAAUGCAGGAGAGAAGCUGAGUAAAGCAAGAGGGAUGGGGCCCCGGCGCCGAGGCAGCACAUGUUCAUGCAGCAGAGGAAAGUACACGUGGCAACUACGUGGUCAUUGCUGGCUGCACAGGCAGACAUUGCAGAAGGCUGGGCAGUUUUGCAGGCAGGUUGGCAGUGAUGUGUACAGGGUGGAGGCUGAGGGCAGAGCUGGAAGCUGGGAGCGAUGCUGUGGGAAAGGUGGCUGCCUGAGGAGUUUGCCAGGGCUCUCCAGUGCUGGACCCCCCUGGCAAUGAGGAGCAGUGGGAGGACAGAGACCACUGCAGGGAAGUGCUCUGUGGUGCAGGAGGAGCAGCUCAGCUCUUCUGAUGCCCAGCUUGGAGGGAAAUCAAACCAGUUAC